UUCUAAGUCAGUUACAGGGUUUAGAAGGUUGGACGUAUCAGUGGAUGAGAUAAGGGAGGGGCACAACAGUGUGCCUGGUAAUGGGGAUUGGGUAGAUUUCAGUGGUAUAAAGAGUGGUAAAAUAGGUGAGGAUGGUGUUAUGUGUUUGAGUGUCUUCGAAGCACCAAUUACCAAAAGCACAAUCAAGUCGAAAGAGAAAAUUUUGCUGGAAAAGAAAUUUGAAUACACUUUUCCAUCCAUUAGCUUAAAUUUUUUUUAUUAUCAAUGAUUUUCCAAAAGUUAAAAAACUACUCCACUAGAGUACAGAUACAAGAAAAUACCUUAAAUUAGUUUCACUUUCUCCUCCAAAUCCAAAUUCAACCAUGGCGAUGAGCAAAGCUGAAACCCUACCUCAAGAAAUCAUAAUUGACAUACUCUCUCGGCUCCCUGCAAAAUUCGUAGGUCAAUACAAGUGCGUAUCAAAUCAGUGGCACAAUUUUCUCUCAGACCCGCAAUUCAUCAAAUUUCACCUCACAAUCCAUGCCCAUAAAGAAGAAAAGAAACUCAUUUAUGUCUCUGCUUCAAACUCUCUUCAUACUAUCACUUUUAACCACAACCCCCAAAAUGGAACAAUUGAUGCCAUUUCAAGAAAACUUAAUUUUCAGCAGCUCUCAUAUAACUGGGUAAGAGUUGUUGGCUCAUGUAAUGGCUUGGUUUUGGUAUUGAAUGAUGAAAUGAUUAAGUAUUUAAUAAACCCCACAACCGUAAAGUACCAUAGAAUUCCAAACUUUCAUUUGGCUAUUCCCUUACCUGGUAGCUGUAGCGUGUAUGGUCUAGGGUAUGAUUUUGCUACUGAUGAUUAUAAGGUGGUUUCUCUUUCUCGAUAUCGAGGGCAUAUUGAAAGUACUUUUGUUGAUGUCUACUCUCUGAGAAUGGGUCUAUGGAAGAGACUUCAGAGUUUACCUCAUUAUCAUGCAGUUCGUAUGCGUGCUUCUGGGGUUUUGGUAAAUGAGGCUUUGCAUUGGUUGGCUAGGAAAGCUCCUGAUUAUUCAUAUGUAAUUGUUGCUUUUGAUUUAAGUAAUGAGAAAUUCUUGGAGGUGCCAACACCUGCUACACUUGAUAACAAUAGUUUUGUGUUUAAUAAGCUUUCGGCUCUUAGAGGGUGUCUUUGUAUGUUAUUUGAUACGUUAGAAAACGAAGUUGAUGUUUGGAUGAUGAGAGAGUAUGGAGAUGAGGAGUCUUGGACUAGAUUUAGGAUUGCUAGACUGGAUUUAGAGUAUGGUUCGGUACCAUUUUGUUCAAUCAGUGAUGAUGAUGUUGUAUUGAAUGUGGAUACGGAGAAGUUGACUAUCUAUAACAUGAAAGAGGAUCAAUGGAGAGAUAUGAAGGUUGAUGGAAUAACUGCCAAGUUUGAAAGAAUUGGAACUUUCAUGGAGAGUCUUGUCUCUCCUAUGUUUAGCAAGGGAACUGAAGGUUACCAUCGUGCUUGAUAUAAUAUGCCGAGAUGAUGUUGUACUCAGGAGUUAAUCUGGUUCUAUGGAAUAGAAAGUAGAACUGUGGACAAAGUCGCAGAGGCUUGGAUCUCAAUAUAUUCUAGUUCCAAGGAUGUUACUCCAGCGGUUUCUUUUCCUCUUUGUCCAAGAAACCUCGAGUAUAUUCGAUCCUUUCUUCUUGAUUUUUAUACUCUCUUUUCACCAGAAUUAACCAUGGUGGCCCAACAUGCUAAAUGCGAAGAGGCACAGGUUUGAAGAUCCGGCUGAAAUCGAGCUCAAGAACAAAUCCUCAUAGCAAAAGUGGAGAAUGAAGUCUAGCAACUCCAGAUCGGAUGAGUGGGGUUUCAGGGAGUAAAACUAACGAAAGAACUCGUUUAUCUGGUAGUGACUUGGUGCUAAUCAAUCAAGAUCAUAAGAUGCAUAAAGUUAUCAGGGCUAAGUCUGUAUCUGGUUUGGGUGCACUAGCAUCAUUAAUUCAUAUGAUGCUUGUUCCAGCUUUGUUUCACAAACAAAGUUCCGAUAUUUCCUUCUAGUUACUAAAGCCAUGGAGAAAAAGUGCAACAGGACUGCUAAUAGGAAGGUUGGUUGGUAUGGAGUUUCUAAAGAAGAAAUAUGGUUUUGUCCAAGUUCUGUCAUGGAGUUCAAUUUUCUGCUCCUGAUUACCUUCUUGAUUGUCUCCAAACUUCUAUUCAAGACUAAGGCAUUUAUUGAUUUGCGAAUUGGUUCUAGGAAGAUUGGAAGUAGUAACUCCUUGUUCACAACAGUUUAAACCAAGUUCAGGGGAUGUUUAUUCUGGGGUUGACAACUUGAUAUCUCCAAGAAGUAUAUAGUUUGGAGUAGUCGCCUCAGUACACAUAUCUUCUCUGAAGUCGUAGUCAGUUUCAGAGCUUCGUCUCAUUCAGAAGGGAUUGAUGAAUUUCCAACUCUUUCAAAGAAUUAAAUUUACCAAGGAUUUCCUUUGAUGGUUUGUAUCACUAGAUUAUCAAAUAUCUUGCCUCUCAUGCUAUCAAGUUGAUAAGAAAAUAUCAGAAUGAUCAUCAAAAGGGAAAGAUCACCGUGCAAGAAUUUGUUAGGCAAGUGAGGGAAGUAGCAGGAAACAGUUUGUUGAUUGCAAUCGUAAACUCUAUCUGGUCUUAGGUAACAAUCACCACCUCUUCAUUGAAGCAAUCAUUAGACCUUGUCUUGCACUAAAAAUCCCCUGUCACAGUACUUGCAAUAUUUCUUCCUCAUAAGUCAUGGUAGUGUCAAAUUGUCAAUUAACUAGCUCAAUGUUAUUAAAAGCUAUUGCUUUGUUUCUUCAUUGCAUGAAGCAGAGCGAAGCAAUGGUUAUCCGACACAAAUUUAGUGUUACAAGACGAGAUUCAGGUUUCACCCCCUUGUAUUUAAUGAGUGAUAAUGAUAUUGUUUUGGAUGUGAGUGGAGAAGAGAAGUUGUUUGUCUACAAUAAGAAAGAUAAACAGUGGAGAGAUUUGAAUGUUGAUGGAAUAAUUACUAAGUUUGGAAGGACUAGAACUUUCAUGGAGAGUCUUGUCUCUCCUAUGUUUGGCCUUGAUGCAAUAUUCUGAGAUGAUGUUGUACUCAGGGAACUUGGACAAUCUAUGGAAUUGAUUGUUAGAGAACUUGGACAGAGCCAUUGAGCCCUGGAUCUCACUAUAUUUUAGUUCCAGGAGUGUUGCUCUUUAAUUAUGAUGUUAUAAAAUGGAUACUAUUUUAGAUCUUAAGAAGAUCACUAUCGUAGAAGGAGAGUUUUUGAAGUAGACUUGCAUUUGUGAUUUGUAUACUGUGUAGUAUACAAUGAACAACAGUAUAGCAUCGUAAGGAGAAACCGGUUCCCGAUGUAGUUGAUUGUUGACAUCUCAAUUGAGUUUCUUAAUAUCAGAUGAUAGAUGAUCUCAGUAACUAUGUAUGCACAUUUAGCAGGAUAUUUUACAUCAAGUCUUCCCAUUUUAUGAAA